rnacentral:lncRNA from 1 species
GGGUUAGCUCACUUCUUAAAAGCUUUAUAUUUUAGAAGGUGGAAGACCUGGAUGCUUCAUACUUUGUAUAUAGAUGCCUCAUGUUACGAAGUUUCCGUCAGUCACAUGUCCAAUGUCCUUGACCUCAUUUUCAUGGUUCAGUGACCACUUGAAAAAAAAGUUCAGAUUUUUUGUAAUGUUGAAUUCUCUCUUAUUAUAAGUAAUAGGAUAACUAUAUUUGACAUGUGCGUACCUUGCAAGGUCCUCAUGUCUGUCAGACAGUUUUCACUUGACCUCGACCUCAUUUCAUGGAUCAGUGAACAAGGUUAAGUUUUGGUGGUCAAGUCCAUAUCUCAGAUACUAUAAGCAAUAG